GGACUGCGACCUCUAGAAUGUGUACUAACUCUGUUGGAGAACAAGUGAUGACGGUACUGUUUGAAAUAAUGACUUCAGUCCUUUUCACACGAAUUCACAGGAGGUGAUUUACAUUCCGUUCCACGUCAUCUUGACUGGGACAACCAUCACCAUUGGGCCGAAACAAAAUGAGAUGUCACAUUAUUUGGUGCCACAAUGUGGGGCCCGACGCGACAACGACUGCAGAGUGCGGGUCGAUGCUUUGCAACUACGAGACACAUGAACACAUCUGCAGAGGGAGCGACACAACGCGUUGGAGGACUGAACCAGAGCAGAACAUUGGUCGAGACAGCGACAUCAGCUGCCGACAGUGACGUGAGCGAGACUACGACAGCGCACAAGCAGAUGAUAAAUAGUAAUCACUACUCAAAGUAAGUGAUUAUCCAGCAUACUCAACAGAGGUGAUGCAGACUAUGUCAGGAUAGAUUGUGCUGAGGUGUUGUACCGUCUACCGGGAGUGCAGCCACUGGACAACGAGAGUAACCAGACAACCAUGCAUAAUCAGAUUGCACUCACUGCCAUAUAUGAUCUGAUGCUGUUGCGGCUUCACCAUGGCCGAUAGAGGAGAAGGCACUGGCUUCGAACUGGGCCAUGUUUGCAGCUUUGCACGGACUGGUGCAGGUGCAGUGACAGUGUGGUGAUACGCCGAAAAUAUAAAUGUGACAGUGAAAUGAAAUAAUGAAAUAUUUAAGGCACAUGGAACCUAAGUUCAAAUUCAUGUAAAAGAAACAAUGUUAUGAUUCAAUUUUUUUGUAUGUUUAUGUGUCUGAAUGACAGUAUGCCAAUAAUAAA